AGCUCAAGUCUGGAAGCAAACAUUCCUGUGCAGGAAAGAGCUUCUCUCCCUCUGCUUCGUUCUGCUCUGUACCACCAAGAAGAAGGAGAAAGAGGUGAGAUGACAAUGAAAAUAAGGCCCAGUGUACAGCAAAAGGGAUGUAGCAAGACAGAAGUGACUGUGACUCAGAUGUUAUCAAAGACAAGAUGAAGCCUGCCUGAGAACCCUCCUCUUAAACAGCAGGAGCCCAGACCCUGAGCAGGGAGAGAGUCAGGUCCCAGAUGGAGACACUGAUUAACUUCAUAGCAUCACCAUGGAGCCAGAUCUGGAAAUUCUUUAGGGGGUUGCUGAACAACCCUGUCAUCCCUACCUGACCUCAGCUGCCGAGGUCCCUGUGAACACAGUCUGCAAGUUCAUCAUCCCGGCGGGGAGGCUUUGUUUUGCAGUCCAAGCCACCUAGAGAAGAAAGUGUAAGGUGGAAGUAUGGAGAAAGAUGGCUCACAGAUACAGGAAAGCUGCAGAGGGAGCCGAGUCAGUUCCAGUGUUCAUACAGGGGCAAAUUAUGGCAACUACAGCCUAAAAUGCAGGAGGUCCUUUGUGUGUGAGCAGCUUGCUAAAGCAAGUACCUGGUAUGCAGUACUGGAGCCACCUGAGGCCUGCCACAAAGAGGCACGGAGAGAGGGUGAGCUGCACCGACCCUGGAUCUACACAGAGAGGAAAAACAGUCCCCCAGGCCACCUACUGGGCCUUAUUCUGUUGUUAUGGACUCUGAAAGUCAGGGAAGUGCCAGGAGGGGUGCGCUCAGAGGGAACCGAAGACUGGACUGAGAAAAUGAGCUGCAGUCCUCAUUGACCACUAAUGGGAACUGGAUUACCUGAUACAUCCUGGAGUCUGAACUGGCAGUCCCUAAGGAGCGUUUGCCCCUCUGGACAGAGCAUUCUGUCCCUCACAAGGACCUGGUUAGCAUCCUCUCUGGGAGGUGGCCUUGUGCCUUGGAGCUUUCUAGAGGCUGUCCCUCCUUUGGUAAAUUCUCACUGGUGGCUUGGUCUUAGUCAGCUGUCUUCCCUGCCUGCCUUUGACACAGCCUGGUCUUUUCUGGGCCAUGGGCUAGGCAGGCUCUUUUUGUUCCCUCACACCAGCCCUCCCCAUAACUUAUUUUGAAAUGGAGAAUGUUUCCCAAUCCACCACUUUCCAGGUGCAUACUGUUCCUCACUGAGUGUUCCCACGGGACAGACAGAUGGGGAGAAUAAUGGACGCACGGCCCUCUCUGCUGCCCUCUCCCUGCACUUGGAUCAACCACCUGACUUUCCCAGGCAUAAAUGGGAGGAUGGGACAACAUUCCAGAUGACGCCCAUGGGAGUUCUCUACAAGAAUAGGGAGAUAUAGCUUGUAAUGAAGUAAAUUAGAAGUCAUGGCAGCCUCAAGCUAGCUCUUGAUGUUGAAUAACUUCUAUAAACCUGUGAACCCUGUUUUCCUCUUUAGUACUACCAUGCAUGCAACUGGGUUUGUAAGUAACAGAGCUCUGAACGUACUGGCUUACAAUAUCCUUGUAGAAACUGAAAAGACAGCAUAGUUAAUAAAGAAACCCCUUUGCAAGCAAGAGUACCUGGAUUCAAGUCCUAGAACCCAGGCCAAAAAGUUGGACUUGGUGCACACAUUUAUAACCCCUGCCUUGAGAGGGUAGAGAUAGACGGAUUCCUGGAUUUACUGACCAGUCAGUCUACACUGUGAGCCCCAGGUGAGACACCUUGAAAAAAAAAAGCGGAAAGUGGGCAUGGUAUCUACAUCAGGAGUUCCUUCAUAGUAGAUGAUGAGGUGCCCCCGUUUGAAAGAGCAUAGGAAUGGCAGCCAUAUCGUGUUCACACAUGCUGGAAGUUGGAUCUAUUUCUGCCUUUUCUCUUGCUCUGCGGAAAGCCAGCUGAGACACACAGGAACCAAAGCCUGAACAGCUACCCACAGCCAGAGGACUCGGCCUGAGAGUAUCCUGGCUGAGCUCGGAGGAAACUUCUCCCCUGGGCGUGCCUUGCUGACUGUGUCCUGCAGACCUUUGACGUCAGCCGCUGGAGCUGCUGGAGCUGGAGGAGUCGCAGAACCAAUCCGCACAACUUAGGGAAGAAUAAACACUUCUGAUUAUUUCAGCUGCUAAAUUUGGACCUCACUUAUUAUAUGGCAUUAGCUGACUAGUACAAUCAUUUUCUAGCUAGAUCCACUCCAGAUUUCUGUUACUAAGAGGAAAGGAGAUAGGAAUUGAGGGGCAACCUACAACUCCCUUCACAUGGACCUAUCAAUAGGAUUAUUGUGAAAAUGACAGGAGCAAUUGCCGAAAUGGAGCUAUUACUGAGAAGCAUCUGGGGAGAAGUAGUCACUAAUGCGGGCCUGUGUCCCAUCCAGCCAACCUUUGCCAGGAGACCGUGAUGGCAAUUCUUGGUUGUCAACUUGACUAUAUCUGGAAUGAACUACAAUCCAGAAAUGGGGGGGGGGGCACCCCUGACUCGUGUCUGAAGGCUGAAAGACACAAGCUUUUGAUUCAGAUCUUGAGGUGGGAUGGCACCUGCUCUCAAUCUAGACCAGCACGCAUCUUUAAUCCAGGCCUUGAGGCACACCUUUAACCUGGGCGAGCGAGACCUUCUGCUGGAGGCCUAUAGAAGGACAAUGGAAGAAGGAAGCAGUCAUUCCUUUUCUGCUUGCAUCCACUUUGCCAGCACAUCCAUUGGAGCCUCCUUUAGGAUUCCAGCUUAUACAGAAGACCAGCUGAAACACCCAACCUUAUGGGACUGAGCAAAUACGAGAUUCUUGGACUUUCCAUUCACAGCUGGCCAUUGUUGGGUUAGUUGGACUACAGCCUGUCAAUCAUUGCAAUAAGUUCCAUAUAUAUUCCAUGACUCUAGAGAACCCUGACUAAUACAAAACACAAUGGGGCUGUUUC
rnacentral:lncRNA from 1 species